rnacentral:tRNA from 1 species
GGGAAGGUGGCUCAGUGGUAGAGUGCUUGCCUUGCAUGCACGAGGCCCUGGGUUCGAUUCCUCAGCAUCCCA